AAUUUGAUUGGUCCAAAUGGGCGAGGGGUCCCUCUACAAACACUUGCUUGGAUGUGUCUGAUACAGUCAUAAAUGCACGUUUCUGGUUGACUGUUGAUCAUAUACUUUUAACGUCGGAACCUAUUCUGAAGGUGCUAAGGAUUGUGGAUGACGACUCCAAACCGAAUAUGACUUACCUCGAAGGAGCCUUCUUAGAGGCAAAAAAAGCUAUAAAGAACAACUUUGAAGGGGAUUCGAGUUUGUAUCUUCCGAUCCAUACUCUUAUGGACAA
rnacentral:lncRNA from 1 species